GCCCGGGUAGCGUAGUGGAUAUCGCGUCGGCCUCCUAAGCCGAAGGUCCUGGGUUCGACCCCCAGCUCGGGUG